AACGAACGCUGGCGGCAUGCCUAACACAUGCAAGUCGAACGGGACCUUCGGGUCUAGUGGCGCACGGGUGCGUAACGCGUGGGAAUCUGCCCUCUGGUACGGAAUAACUCAGGGAAACUUGAGCUAAUACCGUAUAAUGACUUCGGUCCAAAGAUUCAUCGCCUGAGGAUGAGCCCGCGUAGGAUUAGCUAGUUGGUGGGGUAAAAGCCUACCAAGGCGACGAUCCUUAGCUGGCUGAGAGGAUGAUCAGCCACACUGGGACUGAGACACGGCCCAGACUCCUACGGGAGGCAGCAGUGGGGAAUAUUGGACAAUGGGCGAAAGCGUGAUGCAGCAACGCCGCGUGAGGGAAGACGGCCU
rnacentral:rRNA from 1 species